CCUUACCAGGGCUUAAAUGUGGUUUGACAGCUUUAGAGAUAGAGUUUUCUUCGGACAGAUCACAAGGUGCUGCAUGGUUGUCGUCAGCUCGUGCCGUGAGGUGUCAGGUUAAGUCCUAUAACGAGCGCAACCCCUGUUGUUAGUUGCCAGCGAGUAAUGUCGGGAACUCUAGCAAGACUGCCGGUGCAAACCGUGAGGAAGGUGGGGAUGACGUCAAAUCAUCACGGCCCUUACGUCCUGGGCUACACACGUGCUACAAUGGUAGGGACAGAGAGCAGCCACUUCGUGAGAAGGAGCGAAUCUAUAAACCCUAUCACAGUUCGGAUCGGAGUCUGCAACUCGACUCCGUGAAGCUGGAAUCGCUUUAUAGGGGUACCAGCCAUGAUGCGGUGAAUACGUUCCC
rnacentral:rRNA from 1 species